rnacentral:rRNA from 1 species
CCUACGGGAGGCAGCAGUGGGGAAUAUUGGACAAUGGGGGCAACCCUGAUCCAGCCAUGCCGCGUGUGUGAAGAAGGCCCUCGGGUUGUAAAGCACUUUCAGUGGGGAAGAACGCCUGGUGGUUAAUACCCAUCAGGAAAGACAUCACUCACAGAAGAAGCACCGGCUAACUCCGUGCCAGCAGCCGCGGUAAUACGGAGGGUGCGAGCGUUAAUCGGAAUUACUGGGCGUAAAGCGCGCGUAGGUGGCUUGAUAAGCCGGUUGUGAAAGCCCCGGGCUCAACCUGGGAACGGCAUCCGGAACUGUCAAGCUAGAGUGCAGGAGAGGAAGGUAGAAUUCCCGGUGUAGCGGUGAAAUGCGUAGAGAUCGGGAGGAAUACCAGUGGCGAAGGCGGCCUUCUGGACUGACACUGACACUGAGGUGCGAAAGCGUGGGUAGCAAACAGGAUUAGAUACCCGGGUAGUC